rnacentral:rRNA from 1 species
GUCGAACGAUCCUUUCGGGGAUAGUGGCGCACGGGUGCGUAACGCGUGGGAAUCUGCCCUUGGGUUCGGAAUAACUUCGGGAAACUGAAGCUAAUACCGGAUGAUGACGAAAGUCCAAAGAUUUAUCGCCCAGGGAUGAGCCCGCGUAGGAUUAGCUAGUUGGUGGGGUAAAGGCCUACCAAGGCGACGAUCCGUAGCUGGUUUGAGAGGACGACCAGCCACACUGGGACUGAGACACGGCCCAGACUCC